rnacentral:rRNA from 1 species
CACCCUUGUAGUACUGGGACUCUAACCAUAGGCCAUGAAUCUGGUCUUGGGACACUGUCAGGUGGGCAGUUUGACUGGGGCGGUCGCCUCCCAAAAGGGAACGGAGGCGCUCAAAGGUUCUCUCAGUACGGUCGGAAAUCGUACGUAGAGUGUAAAGGCAAAAGAGAGCUUGAUUGCAAGACAUACAGGUCGAGCAAGGAUGAAAAUCGGACUUAGUGAUCCGGUGGUUCUGCGUGGAAGGGCCAUCGCUCAACGGAUAAAAGCUACCCUGGGGAUAACA